rnacentral:rRNA from 1 species
UUGGAGGGCAAGUCUGGUGCCAGCAGCCGCGGUAAUUCCAGCUCCAAUAGCGUAUAUUAAAGUUGUUGCAGUUAAAAAGCCCGUAGUUGAAUUUCGGGAUCGACGGGUCGGUCGCGCCUCUGGUGUGUACUGGCCCUGUCGGUUUCUCCCUUCUGACGAACCACGAUGUCAUUAAUUUGGUGUCGUGGGAAAUCAGGACUGUUACUUUGAAAAAAUUAGAGUGUUUAAAGCAGGCAUUCGCUUGAAUACAUUAGCAUGGAAUAAUGAAAUAGGACGUUUGAUCUUAUUUUGUUGGUUUCUAAGAUCGACGUAAUGAUUAAUAGGGAUAGUUGGGGGCAUUAGUAUUCAAUUGUCAGAGGUGAAAUUCUUGGAUUUAUUGAAGACUAACUACUGCGAAAGCAUUUGCCAAGGAUGUUUUCAUUAAUCAAGAACGAAAGUUAGGGGAUCGAAGACGAUCAGAUACCGUCGUAGUCUUAACCAUAAACUAUGCCGACUAGGGAUCGGAUGAUGUUAAUUUUUUAAUGACUCAUUCGGCGCCUUACGGGAAAC